AGGAAAAGAAACUAACAAGGAUUCCCCUAGUAACGGCGAGUGAAGCGGGAAGAGCUCAAAUUUGAAAUCUGGUGGCCUCAGGUCAUCCGAGUUGUAAUCUAUAGAAGUGUUUUCCGUGCUGGCUCAUGUACAAGUCCCUUGGAACAGGGCGUCAUAGAGGGUGAGAAUCCCGUCCUUGACAUGAACUACCAGUGCUCUGUGAUACAUUUUCAACGAGUCGAGUUGUUUGGGAAUGCAGCUCAAAAUGGGUGGUAAAUUCCAUCUAAAGCUAAAUAUUGGCGAGAGACCGAUAGCGAACAAGUACCGUGAGGGAAAGAUGAAAAGCACUUUGGAAAGAGAGUUAAACAGUAUGUGAAAUUGUUGAAAGGGAAACGAUUGAAGUCAGUCGUGCUCUUUGGAUUCAGCCGGUUCUGCCGGUGUACUUCCUUUGAGUGGGGUCAACAUCAGUUUUGAUCGCUGGAUAAAGGCUGGAGGAACGUAGUACCCUCGGGUAAACUUAUAGCCUCCUGUCACAUACAGNGGUUGGGACUGAGGAACGCAGCACGCCUUUAUGGCCGGGAUUCGUCCACGUACGUGCUUAGGAUGUUGACAUAAUGGCUUUAAACGACCCG
rnacentral:rRNA from 1 species